CAGGCUGUGGAUGAGUGGCUGGUGAACAGGGGCCUGACACCCCCUAAAGGUCUCCUUCCUCUACAGUGUGAAAAGAAAAGAUCCUGAAGCUCACGGCUGAUGCCAAGUUUGUGUGGCCAAGCACAGUGUGGAUGGCGGAUGCUUGUCCAGUGAAGUGCAGCAGCUGGGGCUGCCCAAAGGAACCCAAGGCCAGCUCCCAACUGCUACCUCCAGAGCUACUCCAUUCUACCCCCAGAGCACGUGGCCAGCCUGUGCCCCUGUUAUGAGAAGAAACAAAGCACAUUGUAGAAGCACUUGGGGUCUGCAACCUACGCAGCGAGUAUGAGGCCAGCCAGGGUCCAGGCUCAUUCUAGAAGGUGCACGCAGCAUGCAAAGUGCAUGGAGAGUCCAGGGAGACGACUUAACCACAGUCACAUACUGAGCAGCUGCAGAGCUGGGACCUGGCCCUGGGUCUCCUGAAUCCACGGACUCUGUGGUGCAUCGGAGGCUGAACCCCUCUCCCAUCCAGCUUGGUGGCCAUCUGGCUGAUCCACUCUUCCAGGUGGACCCUCUCUCCUCACGUGGUUCAGGUCCUAUUGCAACACCUCCAGACAGGCCAUGCUAGCCCCAGGGCCUCCCUUCCCUACUACUCAUCCCCCAACCCCAGAAGUGCAAAGGAACCUGGUGCCAGCCGCAGUCAACCCCGAUGUGAUGAUCUUUCUGCCCACCCUCUUUGAUGUCUUGGAGCUGGCCGCUGUCUUUGGCCAGACCUGCAAGUCCGGUCCUUGGGGGUGUAGGAGGAAAGAAGCCCCUGGCUGUGAGUCCUCGAGAUGGACCCUGGCCCUCUCUGGUUCUGAGUUCCUGGGAAAGUCGGUGGUGUUGGAACUCCGGAUUCAUUCCUCAGCGUUGAGGCACUGUCUGUGGAAGCCGUGGGACAAGGUGAAGGUGGGGAGAGGAGAGGCUUGGAGUUUGGGUUUCAGCAGAGGGAUCAGCAGCGUGAGGGGUCGCCUGUGUGUAGAGGAAAGGGAGUGAAGGCCAGGAGUGAGGAAUGAGUCUGAGUGCACCCAGGAUGGUGCUGCAUCUCCUCCCACAUCCACCUGGCCCCAGGGAAGGGAGAAGAAAGGCCACGAGACAAAGGGGAAACUGAGUUGGGUCCAUACAUGUCCUUCCAGGACCUGGAGGUGCCACUGUCUGGCCCUCAGGCAGUGGGAAGUGGGGGAAGGGAGAUUCCCUCCCCAUACCUCGUGUUCUCUGUCCCAGGUCUCCUGGCCCCCUGUGCACCUAAGUUCAGUCUCUGUCGGCCCCCAGCAUCAUUUCUAGGGUUGGUGGGAGGCAGCUGGGAACAGUUUAGGGGUAGGUGGGGCCUGUUUGGAGGAGUCUGCUUGACUGCUUGGGCCACUGCCCACAGUAGUGGGGAGCUUUUCUGGCACACUGACUGCACCACCCAGGCGCUGCCAGUAACAGCCCCCAGGGAGUGUUUGCAGAAGGCCUUGGUGGGCGGUGGGGGUGGACCCCACCCAGAACAAACACCUGGGCUGGCGUCAGGGAGAACAGCCCUCCACUUACCUGUCUGGAGGGUCCUCUGUACCACACUGUGCGUGUCUAAGCUCCGAGGCUGAACACACUGAGGGAGGCCCUCCACUUUAGCACCUUGACAAGAAGGGCAGGGACACCGGGAUCAGGCCCAGCCCCCUGGCCCCAAACCUGCAACCCCAGCUGGAGGGUGAGGAGGUGCUGGUCUUGGGUUGGGGAAUCAGGGGUGUAAAGGGGCCUGCUCACCCCUCAGCUUGGCUCAAAGUCUCAAGGUGUCAAAGGCUCAGCCUGCCCCUCAGAAAGGAGCCCGGACCCAGCCAGAUACUCACCAGGACAAGGGUGAAUGUGACGAGCAGGAGGCCUAGAAUGAAGAGAGCCAUGGCAUAGCCGGGGAUGGAGGUGUCCAGCGGGCUGGGGGCUUUGGGGCUAGGAGUGCCUAGAGCAGAGCAAGAAGGCUAUGGCCAGGUGGGUCCCUGCCUCCCAGACUUCUGAGAUAGCAUAAUCUGGGCCCAGAAGGUGCUGUGGGACCUGUUAUAUGUCAUGGACCUACCUCAAAAAUACUAGCUAAGUAAAAAAGCCAGACACGAGACCACAUAUUGUAUAAUUCCAUUGAUUUGAAAUGUCCAAAAAAGGCAAACUGAUAGAGACAGAAGUGGGCUGAUUUACCUCAAGAGGCAGCGACUCAAGCUCUCUAGAUGACAGGUGAUACAUCCAUGAGAAAAAA
rnacentral:lncRNA from 1 species